GUAUGCCAUGGGCUCGUACUUCCAUGCCUUCAAGGAAGCUCGGGCAUUUUUGAGAUCGAAGCCCGAUGCUAGUCCCGAGGAUCUAAAGAAUAUCCCCGAGAUUGCUGAUACUCUCGAGCUGUCAGAGUCCGAGGACGCGGUGGAGGAGCAGGGGAGCACAGCCUCGGGAGAAAGGGCCGAGGACUUAGAUUAGUUUUUGUUUGUUUUUUGUAUGAUGAUGGCCCUUCUGUUUUGUAAUUUGAACAUGUAUUUUACUCGAUGAAGUAUUUUUCUUUUGCUGUGUUAAUGUAUCUCGAUCAUUCAAAUAGCCCGAGGUUAGAUGGUUUCUCGACGCCUAGAGUAGUGAAACACCUCGAGGACAUAAUUCGUGAAAACAUUUUCUGAAUAUUAUAACGAACACAAAUUCAUCCCGAGGACUCAAACUGUAAAAUAUUUGGGAACAUCAUUGUUGACCCCGAGCAUUAAACAAGUUACCUCGACGAGUAAAGAAGAUUAAUCAUUUUCAACGACUAAUUAAUCAUCUCGACGAUUGAGAAUAACUCAAUUGUUAAACAAGUGAUAAUGCCGAGGACAGUAUAGUUUUCUACACACUUAACACUCGACGAUUAAGUUCAAGGGAUGGUCGUCCCCGAGGAGUAGGGAUAAUUUGUGACCGACCUAUGCACAUGAGUUUAUCCCGAGCUUUUAUUUUCAGGCUUGGACAAAAGUACAAGGAUAUAUGGUCGGGAUAUAUGUCCUCGGUGUUUAUACUUGUGCUGCACUAUUUUGAUGUGCUGAUUAUGAGCUCCAAGAUUUUGGUGUUUGCUCGAGGCAAGGCUUGCUCGAGGGCAAGGCUUAAAAGGGGCUUGCUCGAGGCCAAGGCAUACAUUGGCUUGUCAAAGACAAGGCUUAAAAGGGGCUUGCUCGAGGGCAAGGUUUAAAUUGGCUUGUCAAGGACAAGGCUUAAAAGGGGCUUGCUCGAGGGCAAGGUUUAAAUUGGCUUGUCAAGUACAAGGCUUAAAAGGGGCUUGCUCGAGGGCAAGGCUUAAAGGGGCUUGCUCGAGGGCAAGGCUUAAAUUGGCUUGCUCGAGGGCAAGGCUUAAAUUGGCUCGUCAAAGACAAGGCUUAAAGGGGCUUGCUCGAGGGCAAGGCUUAAAUUGGCUCGUCAAAGACAAGGCUUAAAAGGGGCUUGCUCGAGGGCAAGGCUUAAAGGGGCUUGCUCAAGGGCAAGGCUUAAAUUGGCUUGCUCGAGGGCAAGGCUUAAAUUGGCUCGUCAAAGACAAGGCUUAAAGGGGCUGUUAUACCCGAGGUUUGGAUUUAUUAAUUGUUCGGACUGGACUUGGAUUUAUAUUACAUCCAAGCUGCCUACGUACCCAAACGGGAUCAAGCCGAACGUAGUUCAUUACAAAAGAGAACGGAAAACAUGCAUGGGCACGCAGGCCCGCUAAACUAGAAAUAAAAUGCAGGAAAAGAAAAUCUCCUUAAAGGCGUCGGGAAUUUUACUUGUAAUAUAUUUUCA
rnacentral:lncRNA from 1 species